GCGGGCAUCCGCGGAUUUGGAAAGUUUUUCGGUUGAAGAUGAUCUCGCGGCCUAUCAGCUUGUUGGUGAGGUAAUGGCUCACCAAGGCGACGACGGGUAGCCGGCCUGAGAGGGCGACCGGCCACACUGGGACUGAGACACGGCCCAGACUCCUACGGGAGGCAGCAGUGGGGAAUAUUGGGCAAUGGAGGAAACUCUGACCCAGCGACGCCGCGUGCGGGAUGAAGGCCUUCGGGUUGUAAACCGCUUUCAGCAGGGAAGAAGCGAAAGUGACGGUACCUGCAGAAGAAGCACCGGCUAACUAUGUGCCAGCAGCCGCGGUAAUACAUAGGGUGCAAGCGUUGUCCGGAAUUAUUGGGCGUAAAGAGCUCGUAGGUGGUUCGUCACGUCGGAUGUGAAACUCUGGGGCUUAACCCCAGACCUGCAUUCGAUACGGGCGAGCUUGAGUAUGGUAGGGGAGUCUGGAAUUCCUGGUGUAGCGGUGGAAUGCGCAGAUAUCAGGAAGAACACCAAUGGCGAAGGCAGGACUCUGGGCCAUUACUGACACUGAGGAGCGAAAGCGUGGGGAGCGAACAGGAUUAGAUACCCUGGUAGUCCACGCCGUAAACGGUGGGCACUAGUUGUGGGGACCUUCCACGGUCUCUGCGACGCAGCUAACGCAUUAAGUGCCCCGCCUGGGGAGUACGAUCGCAAGAUUAAAACUCAAAGGAAUUGACGGGGCCCCGCACAAGCAGCGGAGCAUGCGGCUUAAUUCGACGCAACGCGAAGAACCUUACCAAGGCUU
rnacentral:rRNA from 1 species